rnacentral:tRNA from 1 species
GGGGUUGUAGCUCAGUGGUAGAGUACUCGCCUAGCAUGUGCAGCGCCCUGGGUUCUAUCCCCAGCACCGCA